rnacentral:rRNA from 1 species
CGCUAGCUACAGGCUUAACACAUGCAAGUCGAGGGGCAGCAUGGUCUUAGCUUGCUAAGGCCGAUGGCGACCGGCGCACGGGUGAGUAACGCGUAUCCAACCUGCCUUACACUCUUGGACAGCCUUCUGAAAGGGAGAUUAAUACAAGAUGUUAUCAUGAGUAAGCAUUUUCGCAUGAUUAAAGGUUUACCGGUGUAAGAUGGGGAUGCGUUCCAUUAGAUAGUAGGCGGGGUAACGGCCCACCUAGUCUUCGAUGGAUAGGGGUUCUGAGAGGAAGGUCCCCCACAUUGGAACUGAGACACGGUCCAAACUCCUACGGGAGGCAGCAGUGAGGAAUAUUGGUCAAUGGACGAGAGUCUGAACCAGCCAAGUAGCGUGAAGGAUGAAGGUUCUAUGGAUUGUAAACUUCUUUUAUACGGGAAUAAACGAAUCCACGCGUGGAUUUUUGCAUGUACCGUAUGAAUAAGGAUCGGCUAACUCCGUGCCAGCAGCCGCGGUAAUACGGAGGAUCCGAGCGUUAUCCGGAUUUAUUGGGUUUAAAGGGAGCGUAGAUGGGUUGUUAAGUCAGUUGUGAAAGUUUGCGGCUCAACCGUAAAAUUGCAAUUGAUACUGGCAGUCUUGAGUACAGUUGAGGUAGGCGGAAUUCGUGGUGUAGCGGUGAAAUGCUUAGAUAUCACGAAGAACUCCGAUUGCGAAGGCAGCUUACUAACCUGUAACUGACAUUGAUGCUCGAAAGUGUGGGUAUCAAACAGGAUUAGAUACCCUGGUAGUCCACACGGUAAACGAUGAAUACUCGCUGUAGGCGAUAUACAGUCUGCGGCCAAGCGAAAGCAUUAAGUAUUCCACCUGGGGAGUACGCCGGCAACGGUGAAACUCAAAGGAAUUGACGGGGGCCCGCACAAGCGGAGGAACAUGUGGUUUAAUUCGAUGAUACGCGAGGAACCUUACCCGGGCUUAAAUUGCAACCGAAUAUGGCGGAAACGCUAUAGCUAGCAAUAGCGGUUGUGAAGGUGCUGCAUGGUUGUCGUCAGCUCGUGCCGUGAGGUGUCGGCUUAAGUGCCAUAACGAGCGCAACCCUUGCCGAUAGUUACUAACAGGUCAUGCUGAGGACUCUGUCGGGACUGCCAUCGUAAGAUGUGAGGAAGGUGGGGAUGACGUCAAAUCAGCACGGCCCUUACGUCCGGGGCUACACACGUGUUACAAUGGGGGGUACAGAGGGCUGCUACCACGCAAGUGGAUGCCAAUCCCAAAAACCUCUCUCAGUUCGGAUUGAAGUCUGCAACCCGACUUCAUGAAGCUGGAUUCGCUAGUAAUCGCGCAUCAGCCACGGCGCGGUGAAUACGUUCCCGGGCCUUGUACACACCGCCCGUCAAGCCAUGGGAGCCGGGGGUACCUGAAGUGCGUAACCGCAAGGAGCGCCCUAGGGUAAAACUGGAA